rnacentral:misc_RNA from 1 species
AAGUCGUAACAAGGUUUCCGUAGGUGAACCUGCGGAAGGAUCAUUAGUGAAUAAACAAGUGCAGGUUGUGCUGGCCUUUUUGGGUAUGUGCACGCCUGCCAGCUUCAUUCCAUCUUCCCACCUGUGCACUCUGUGUAGAUUCUGUAUGCUAUUGUCAAGCCUUUAUUGUGCUUGGUUGAGAGGAGUUGCUUGUUUCACUAACAAGCUCUUCUUGGGCAUGCAGGUCUAUGUUUAUAUCAACACCAUAUGAAUGUUUUAGAAUGUGCUUUAGGCUUUUUGGCCUUUAAAUUUAUACAACUUUCAACAACGGAUCUCUUGGCUCUC